rnacentral:rRNA from 1 species
GGGUGAGUAACACGUGGAUAACCUACCUAUAAGACUGGGAUAACUUCGGGAAACCGGAGCUAAUACCGGAUAAUAUAUUGAACCGCAUGGUUCAAUAGUGAAAGACGGUUUUGCUGUCACUUAUAGAUGGAUCCGCGUCGCAUUAGCUAGUUGGUAAGGUAACGGCUUACCAAGGCAACGAUGCGUAGCCGACCUGAGAGGGUGAUCGGCCACACUGGAACUGAGACACGGUCCAG